rnacentral:rRNA from 1 species
UACGAAGGGGGCUAGCGUUGCUCGGAAUUACUGGGCGUAAAGCGCACGUAGGCGGCUUUGUAAGUUAGAGGUGAAAGCCCGGGGCUCAACCCCGGAAUUGCCUUUAAGACUGCAUCGCUUGAACGUCGGAGAGGUGAGUGGAAUUCCGAGUGUAGAGGUGAAAUUCGUAGAUAUUCGGAAGAACACCAGUGGCGAAGGCGGCUCACUGGACGACUGUUGACGCUGAGGUGCGAAAGCGUGGGGAGCAAACAGG